rnacentral:piRNA from 1 species
UCCUAAUUUGCUGUACCUGUUGUAUGUCC